ACAUGCCUACAGCAUAGCAUUGAUGCACUGGAUCCCAUUAGAACUCUGCAGUUAAGCGCACUCAGGCUAGAAUAGUACUGGGAUGGGUGACCGCCUGGGAAAUCCUACUAUUUUACAUGCC
rnacentral:rRNA from 1 species